rnacentral:tRNA from 2 species
CGGGAUGUGGCGCAGUCCGGUUAGCGCACCUGCUUUGGGAGCAGGGGGUCACAGGUUCGAAUCCUGUUAUCCCGACCA